CACGUAGGGUGCGAGCGUUGUCCGGAAUUACUGGCGUAAAGAGCUCGUAGGUGGUUUGUCGCGUUGUUCGUGAAAACUCACAACUCAAUUGUGGGCGUGCGGGCGAUACGGGCAGACUGGAGUACUGCAGGGGAGACUGGAAUUCCUGGUGUAGCGGUGGAAUGCGCAGAUAUCAGGAGGAACACCGGUGGCGAAGGCGGGUCUCUGGGCCACUACUGACGCUGAGAAGCGAAAGCAUGGGGAGCGAACAGG
rnacentral:rRNA from 1 species